UUCACUUCUUUUUUUUCUCCAUGCAGCUGCGCUCAACUGCUUUCAGAAGAGCCCGGAUCAGGUGUCUGGAGUCUGGAUGGCGACCCGCUGGCCAGGGAGGCUAUGAUCCCAUGCUUGGGCUGGCCUGCAGGGUGGGGCCAGGAGGUGUGGAGACACGGGCCCAGGAGGAGAAGUCACAGGGCAGUGGAGUCAUUCAAGUGCUGUAAUAUUCACAGAGAAGCAGUCCCCGAACUUUGUCUUCAUUUAUGGAUCCAUGUAGUCUGAAAGUUCAUUGUUCACUAAAUAUCUCUGGUUACCAUUUCACUUUAAUUCAAACAAUACCUCAGUUUUCUAGAAUUGAUUCGCUCCAGAUCUGAACUAAUUAUAGACCCAGUUGCAAAUCUACAAAAAGUGUUUGAAAAUCAUGAGCAGACAAAUCAUUUCAGUUUCUAGCAUACAUGGUGGGUUCCCUUCCCAUCAACUACUUUUUCCUCAGAGAAUUCCACUUCGGUCCAGGGUGGAUGCUGGUGAGCCCAAGUCAGUCCUGGGAGUUCUGGCCCCUAGUCAGGGGUUGAUUUGGGCAAGGCAAUGCGAGGCCCUGAUGGGGAAGUUGGCUGGAGGGGGGUAGGGUAGGUCUGGAAAAGGUUUCCUUCCCCUAAAAAAGACACAGAAGGAGAUGUUCUCUCCUCUUUCUUGGCACAUCACUGUGUCUGGGAUGUGCCUUUGGAAGCACUACAGCACAUUGCCACCAGCUGGAUGAGCUAAGUGUGGAAGAAAGCAGAGUGGGUAGAAUUCCCCAGCAGUAAAACAGGGCCUCAAGUGUUGUGCCUGGACUCUGUCCUCCUUGGAACCUCUCUAUUCAAGGACACAGUACACUGCCUUACUGCUUAAGCCACGAUGACUCGGGAUUUUCAACUAUUUACAACCCAAAGCAUGCUCAGUAACAGGCAAGUGUGCAUUGAAGUCUAUACACUCUGCUCACAGAACAGCGGGUCAGGCGUUGAGUUCUAGCAAAUGGGCUUAUCUGAUUUCCCAGUUCAGGGCAGACUGGAAGUAGCACGUUAGAAGUGGAGAAAAGGGCUGUUAGAAGCAGCGGCCGGACAGAAGAGACAGAAAGGUGGAAACCAGAAGCCCGGAUCAUUAAUGCCGGGCAAACAAGUCCGGCCCCUCCCAGCUCGUGGCGGUGUCGGAGUCCAUCUCAGUGGCUGAUCCUGCACGAUGACGACGGCCAUGUGUCAUCCCGGGAAGUUUGCUUUCUGGUUCGCGUAUUCUGAGGCUGAUUAAUAUUCCUAAACAUUUCUCUGUAAACAAGGAAGAAGGUUACAUGACUAAAGGGAUAAGCUUAUCUGAAAAGGCACAGAGAAGAGAUUCACUCCCCUGCGCGGCUCCGUUGAUGCGAGCUGUACGUCUCUGCAAGUAGAACCUGCUCGAAGUUGGCUUCACCCAGAGAAAAGGGAGGUGACAAAAAUGCGGCAGGAUUUGGCUGGCUGCCCCGAGCAGCUCGUUUCCCUUUGGGUCCUCGGGAGAAGCCCCAGCAGAGAAGAAGCAAAGCGUCAGGACCAGGGGGUGCCCUUCUGGGAAGACGGACUUCUCUGUGGUCCAAGGGCUCAGCGAGACUGGCCCCGCGGUCUCCUCAGAAGCUGCCCAUGGGAAGUCAGUAAGCUGCUCGCCUCUCCUCUUGGGCGGCUGGGCGCUUGUAAUUAAAAUGUAAAUAAUUCUCCGGGCCAACAGCUUGGAGACGAAAAUGGCUGGAAAGAUCACAGUAAAACCGCACCACGCCAAACGGGUUCUAAGCCUUUGUCUGCACAGAUGCUAGGCCCACCAGUGGUUAGUUGUCUGGGUGAGGAGUCACUCGGAAUGAGGCCUUGGCAACUACGUCCGGCCAUACUCCCCUGACUCCAGCAUCUAAAACCGAGGGUGGCUUGCUUCCCCAGUUCCCGGGGCCUGGGCAGCUCAGAACACAAGUGUUAGGGUGAGCCCCGGCCCUCCCUGCAGCCAGCGGGCGCUCUGUGACCCCCACACCCGGCCCUCCCCUUGCACUGGGAGGGCCACCCUGUACUGAGCAGCGGCGGGCUGGGUCGAGCUCCCCGUUUGCCGGCCCCUGUUGGAAGCAGAUGUGCGGUCUCUACAGGCCUCCGCCCCUCGGGAUGUUACUUGGGCUGUAAAAUGAUUCUGAGUUUGAGGCGUACCCCGAAACCUUAGUAAUAUGCAAAUACAAGCCAAAGAAGGCGGGAGACCCCUAAUACUCCCUUUUGUACCUCCCAUCAGAUAUGCGUGCGGCUUGGACAGAGUCGUUGCUCAUCGUUUUUAAAAAUUAGUAAUAAGUGAUUUAUCAACCUGAGUACCAAGUGAGGGAAAUAUAUAUAGAGAAUGAAAGAAUUUUAUUAAGAACGAAACAGACCAAUUAAAUUAAUUGGUUUCCAGGGGCAUUUUUUUAUAUUGGUGUUCAUACUGAGGAUUGUUACUGGAAAUUAUCAUUAUUAUUAUUAUUAGCAGCCAACAUUUUGAGUUUGAGCUAAAUGCCUUGCCUUCGUGGUUUUAUUUUAUUAUCAACAGCAAGCAUACACUUAUUAAACCCAUUUUACAGAUAGAGAAAAUGAGGCUUAGGGAUGUCAGGUCAUUUACCUGGAGACGUAGCCUGAGGUAGUGGUUGGAGUACCCCUCAAAUUAAGUCUGUUCCCGUGCCAAAGCCCUAACCACUGUGUAGUUAUUGACCACAGUUGUGAAGAAUUUUUCUAAGAUUUUCCCUUGUUUUUUAAAUAAAGGGGACUUGAGAUCUUAUCUCUCACUUGCAUUCUAGUAUGUUGCUGUAAGGGCGAGAAGGCUAGAAUCAUGGUUGAUCUGCAGACAGUGGUGAGAAAUCAUGUAUGUUCAUGAAGGGGCUCAUCUGUCUGUCAUGGCAGAGAAAAGACCGACACGUGAUCUUAGGGUUCCUGAAAUGUAAUGGAGUCCAAGAGUAGAUGUUUUCAAAUGGAACAUUCUAAAGAAUUUUCGUUAAAUAAUUUUCAGUAAGUUAAAUAAUUCUCCUUAAAUGCUUACUUGAUUUUUAAAGUUCACUUAAAAAAAAAAAAAACUGAUUUAAAGUUUUCCUUACACUCUACGUUCGUUCUUAUUUUCGACUCAUUCAUUCGGUUAGUGGGCUCGGGAAAUGUCUAAUGACACCACGGCUGCGGUGCCAAGCUAUGGCACGGGAGGCUGUCUUCAUACAGUCAGCCUUGGGGUGUCCUGCUCUCAUUCUUGGUGACCCGGUUUGGGUUCACAAGGUGAACCGGGUACCAGGCCUCACUUGGGUAAUCGCCAGGUGGGUCCCACCGGCCCUGUGUUUGGGGUGUAUAAGCUAGUUCAGGUGCUCGUAUUUUAGAGUCCUCUUUCUCCAUAGUAAUUUACAUGUACAUAUAUGGCUUGGGUAGCAUAUAUACAUUAGCAAAUACACGCUUGUUACUCCAGCAGUGCAAGCUCAGGAGAAGAAAAGUAUUAUAUAACAAGAAGCAUGGGGGCACCUGGUGGUACCGUUGGUUAAACAUCAGACUCCUGGUUUCGGCUCAGAUCCUGAUCUCAGAGUCUUGAGAUCAAGCCCCACAUUGGGCUCUGUGCCCCUCCACCUCUGCAUCCCUCUCUCUCCCAAAUAAAAAUAAAAUGAAAAUCAAUAAAUCUUU